AGAGUUUGAUCCUGGCUCAGGAUGAACGCUGGCGGCGUGCCUAACACAUGCAAGUCGAACGAAGCUCUUACGACAGAACUCUUCGGAGGGAAGAUGUAAGAGACUGAGUGGCGGACGGGUGAGUAACGCGUGGGUAACCUGCCCUAUACAGGGGGACAACAGUUGGAAACGACUGCUAAUACCGCAUAAGCGCACAGUACCGCAUGGUACAGAGCGAAAAACUCCGGUGGUAUAGGAUGGGGCCCGCGUCUGAUUAGCUAGUUGGAGGUGUAACGGACCACCAAGGCGACGAUCAGUAGCCGCUUGAGAGAGUGAACGGCCACAGUUGGGACUGGAGACACGGCCCAAACUCCGUACGGGAGGCA
rnacentral:rRNA from 1 species